GGUUAAGCGACUAAGCGUACACGGUGGAUGCCCUGGCAGUCAGAGGCGAUGAAGGACGUGCUAAUCUGCGAUAAGCGUCGGUAAGGUGAUAUGAACCGUUAUAACCGGCGAUUUCCGAAUGGGGAAACCCAGUGUGUUUCGACACACUAUCAUUAACUGAAUCCAUAGGUUAAUGAGGCGAACCGGGGGAACUGAAACAUCUAAGUACCCCGAGGAAAAGAAAUCAACCGAGAUUCCCCCAGUAGCGGCGAGCGAACGGGGAGGAGCCCAGAGCCUGAAUCAGUGUGUGUGUUAGUGGAAGCGUCUGGAAAGGCGCGCGAUACAGGGUGACAGCCCCGUACACAAAAAUGCACAUGCUGUGAGCUCGAUGAGUAGGGCGGGACACGUGGUAUCCUGUCUGAAUAUGGGGGGACCAUCCUCCAAGGCUAAAUACUCCUGACUGACCGAUAGUGAACCAGUACCGUGAGGGAAAGGCGAAAAGAACCCCGGCGAGGGGAGUGAAAAAGAACCUGAAACCGUGUACGUACAAGCAGUGGGAGCCUCUUUAUGGGGUGACUGCGUACCUUUUGUAUAAUGGGUCAGCGACUUAUAUUCUGUAGCAAGGUUAACCGAAUAGGGGAGCCGAAGGGAAACCGAGUCUUAACUGGGCGUUAAGUUGCAGGGUAUAGACCCGAAACCCGGUGAUCUAGCCAUGGGCAGGUUGAAGGUUGGGUAACACUAACUGGAGGACCGAACCGACUAAUGUUGAAAAAUUAGCGGAUGACUUGUGGCUGGGGGUGAAAGGCCAAUCAAACCGGGAGAUAGCUGGUUCUCCCCGAAAGCUAUUUAGGUAGCGCCUCGUGAACUCAUCUCCGGGGGUAGAGCACUGUUUCGGCAAGGGGGUCAUCCCGACUUACCAACCCGAUGCAAACUGCGAAUACCGGAGAAUGUUAUCACGGGAGACACACGGCGGGUGCUAACGUCCGUCGUGAAGAGGGAAACAACCCAGACCGCCAGCUAAGGUCCCAAAGUCAUGGUUAAGUGGGAAACGAUGUGGGAAGGCCCAGACAGCCAGGAUGUUGGCUUAGAAGCAGCCAUCAUUUAAAGAAAGCGUAAUAGCUCACUGGUCGAGUCGGCCUGCGCGGAAGAUGUAACGGGGCUAAACCAUGCACCGAAGCUGCGGCAGCGACGCUGAUGCGUUGUUGGGUAGGGGAGCGUUCUGUAAGCCUGUGAAGGUGUGCUGUGAGGUAUGCUGGAGGUAUCAGAAGUGCGAAUGCUGACAUAAGUAACGAUAAAGCGGGUGAAAAGCCCGCUCGCCGGAAGACCAAGGGUUCCUGUCCAACGUUAAUCGGGGCAGGGUGAGUCGACCCCUAAGGCGAGGCCGAAAGGCGUAGUCGAUGGGAAACAGGUUAAUAUUCCUGUACUUGGUGUUACUGCGAAGGGGGGACGGAGAAGGCUAUGUUGGCCGGGCGACGGUUGUCCCGGUUUAAGCGUGUAGGCUGGUUUUCCAGGCAAAUCCGGAAAAUCAAGGCUGAGGCGUGAUGACGAGGCACUACGGUGCUGAAGCAACAAAUGCCCUGCUUCCAGGAAAAGCCUCUAAGCAUCAGGUAACAUCAAAUCGUACCCCAAACCGACACAGGUGGUCAGGUAGAGAAUACCAAGGCGCUUGAGAGAACUCGGGUGAAGGAACUAGGCAAAAUGGUGCCGUAACUUCGGGAGAAGGCACGCUGAUAUGUAGGUGAAGCGACUUGCUCGUGGAGCUGAAAUCAGUCGAAGAUACCAGCUGGCUGCAACUGUUUAUUAAAAACACAGCACUGUGCAAACACGAAAGUGGACGUAUACGGUGUGACGCCUGCCCGGUGCCGGAAGGUUAAUUGAUGGGGUUAGCGCAAGCGAAGCUCUUGAUCGAAGCCCCGGUAAACGGCGGCCGUAACUAUAACGGUCCUAAGGUAGCGAAAUUCCUUGUCGGGUAAGUUCCGACCUGCACGAAUGGCGUAAUGAUGGCCAGGCUGUCUCCACCCGAGACUCAGUGAAAUUGAACUCGCUGUGAAGAUGCAGUGUACCCGCGGCAAGACGGAAAGACCCCGUGAACCUUUACUAUAGCUUGACACUGAACAUUGAGCCUUGAUGUGUAGGAUAGGUGGGAGGCUUUGAAGUGUGGACGCCAGUCUGCAUGGAGCCGACCUUGAAAUACCACCCUUUAAUGUUUGAUGUUCUAACGUUGACCCGUAAUCCGGGUUGCGGACAGUGUCUGGUGGGUAGUUUGACUGGGGCGGUCUCCUCCUAAAGAGUAACGGAGGAGCACGAAGGUUGGCUAAUCCUGGUCGGACAUCAGGAGGUUAGUGCAAUGGCAUAAGCCAGCUUGACUGCGAGCGUGACGGCGCGAGCAGGUGCGAAAGCAGGUCAUAGUGAUCCGGUGGUUCUGAAUGGAAGGGCCAUCGCUCAACGGAUAAAAGGUACUCCGGGGAUAACAGGCUGAUACCGCCCAAGAGUUCAUAUCGACGGCGGUGUUUGGCACCUCGAUGUCGGCUCAUCACAUCCUGGGGCUGAAGUAGGUCCCAAGGGUAUGGCUGUUCGCCAUUUAAAGUGGUACGCGAGCUGGGUUUAGAACGUCGUGAGACAGUUCGGUCCCUAUCUGCCGUGGGCGCUGGAGAACUGAGGGGGGCUGCUCCUAGUACGAGAGGACCGGAGUGGACGCAUCACUGGUGUUCGGGUUGUCAUGCCAAUGGCACUGCCCGGUAGCUAAAUGCGGAAGAGAUAAGUGCUGAAAGCAUCUAAGCACGAAACUUGCCCCGAGAUGAGUUCUCCCUGACUCCUUGAGAGUCCUGAAGGAACGUUGAAGACGACGACGUUGAUAGGCCGGGUGUGUAAGCGCAGCGAUGCGUUGAGCUAACCGGUACUAAUGAACCGUGAGGCUUAACCUU
rnacentral:rRNA from 1 species